GGGGGACGUCUGGCUUCAGCCGGUGGUGAUCGUAGUGUUGCCGAGCGGAGAGCGAAUUAAAAAUGGGUGAUGUUGAGAAAGGCAAGAAGAUUUUUGUUCAGAAGUGUGCCCAGUGUCAUACCGUGGAAAAGGGAGGCAAGCACAAAACUGGACCAAAUCUCCAUGGUCUGUUUGGGAGGAAGACAGGUCAGGCGCCUGGAUUCUCUUACACAGAUGCCAACAAGAACAAAGGCAUCACCUGGGGAGAGGACACACUGAUGGAGUACCUGGAGAAUCCCAAAAAGUACAUCCCUGGAACAAAAAUGAUCUUCACUGGGAUUAAGAAGAAGGGAGAGAGGGCGGACCUAAUAGCUUAUCUUAAAAAGGCACCUAAUGAGUAAUAGCCACUGCCUUAUUUAUUACAAAACAGCUAUCUCAUGGCUUUUAAUGUAACGUUGUUUAAUUCAUACACCAGGAUUCAGAUCAUGAUUGGCUACCUAUUUUUGUUGGACAGUCCUGAUUUAAAUAAGAUUGACUUGU